GACGAACGCUGGCGGCGUGCCUAAUACAUGCAAGUUGAGCGCUGAAGGUUGGUACUUGUACCAACUGGAUGAGCAGCGAACGGGUGAGUAACGCGUGGGGAAUCUGCCUUUGAGCGGGGGACAACAUUUGGAAACGAAUGCUAAUACCGCAUAAAAACUUUAAACACAAGUUUUAAGUUUGAAAGAUGCUAUUGCAUCACUCAAAGAUGAUCCCGCGUUGUAUUAGCUAGUUGGUGAGGUAAAGGCUCACCAAGGCGAUGAUACAUAGCCGACCUGAGAGGGUGAUCGGCCACAUUGGGACUGAGACACGGCCCAAACUCCUACGGGAGGCAGCAGUAGGGAAUCUUCGGCAAUGGACGAAAGUCUGACCGAGCAACGCCGCGUGAGUGAAGAAGGUUUUCGGAUCGUAAAACUCUGUUGGUAGAGAAGAACGUUGGUGAGAGUGGAAAGCUCAUCAAGUGACGGUAACUACCCAGAAAGGGACGGCUAACUACGUG
rnacentral:rRNA from 1 species